rnacentral:piRNA from 1 species
GGGUCCAGUAGCUGGGACAUGGUCAGUGGU